AUCGUGUAAUUUUAACCUUCUUGGAUGAACCUAAGGCUAAUGUUUUUAUGCUUAAAUUCAGCUGCUCCUCUCCCAAUAUGGACCGGAAUGUUACUUUUUUAAGGACAAAGCCAUUAAAGAGUCAGCAAAUCCUUAAAGAAAUCAUCUCAAAGAGGGUGACAGCCAGAGGCAGCAGUGCAGCCAGUAAGCAGAGCCUUGCUGCUGCCAUUCUGAUCGCCUGUGGUGAGAAGCAGGUCACGGCUCAACAAAGGGAAGUGAAAAGGCGCAAACUGGACGCCUUACACAAGAAAGUCUUCCAAUAAAGUCCAAAGGAAGUUCCAGGGACCUGCAGCCUCAUGUA